UUGCAAUUAUAUUGGGGCUUAUGGAUAAGCCCUACCUCACCUACUCUCUCUUUUGUCUUCUACCCAUACAACAGAAAAAAAAGAAAAAAAAACCCUUCUCUCUCUAAACCCUUUUUCUUUUACUUUCUAACACCUUUCUCUUCCUUUCUCUUGUAACCUCUCCAUCAAAGGGGUAAAUUGGAUAUUUUGGAAGCUUGAAGUUGGAGAAGAAGCUUGGAAAAGCUCUCUAAUGGUGGAUCAAACUUCUUGACUAUGGUGACUAAGGUUAGUUCGACACUGGGUACAAUUCCGAUUUGGAUUACGACGAGGUUACGACAUCCGAUUGGAGGAAUUUGAGAAAUUUCAUUCGUUAAGCUUGAAGCGUGCCGAAUCGACAUCGAAGAGCCAGUUGCUUUUAAAUCAUAGUAAUGGUAAUUAACUAAGGUGGGUGGUACUCUCCGAAUUAGUUGGAUUUCUCUAUGUCUAAUUCUAUUCAUUGAGCAUAUAUGUAUGUAUGUGUGAUUAUGCAUCUUAGGAUUCAAGUUAUCCUUUUCCAUGUGAAUUGCAUGCUUCCCAAGUUAAUGAGUAGACAAUUGCAAUUGAGAACUUUAUACUUAUGAUGCAUGAUUUUUGAACCUUAGAGAUACAAGAAUUAAUAGGUUGUAUGGACGUAGAAAACACAAUGAAACACUAGGUGUCAUUGUGAUGUCGAUCAUGAACCUAGUGAUAAAACUAUGAUUUGGGUGUAAUCUGUUGUACAAGCAGAGAACUAAGACAUUGUGUUGCGAUAUACAUGUAGAAUGUACUAGAUGUUUUGCCAUAGUCACAUAUAAUGUGAGAUAUUACAUACUUAGCCAUGAUCACAUAGCAUAUAGAGGUAUAUUGCCGUAGUUGCAUAUAAUUUGAGAUGAGCAUGUUAGGGAUUGGUAGAUCCCCAAAUAGUGUCAUUCUUUUAUCAUGAGAGUUGCAUGAUGUAGAGUUAUAUGUUAUCUUGGGAUAAGUAAAUUGUAUGCUCUUGAAUGUGGAAUAGAACCUAAUAUUGCAAGUCAUAACAUUUCAUGUAUGAAAUUGGACAUUGGUCAUUGAGAACCCUAGAUAUGCUUGUGAACUAGUGGUGAGACUAGAGUAUGAACUUACACAAAACUUGUGUAGCACUAGGUGUAUUGAUAGUUGUAGAACUUGAACCUAGUGAUAUGAAUUGAGUGGAAUUUCAAGUGCCAAUGAAGGUUUUGAGUCAUUGCAUGUAUAACGUGACAACUAGCACCUUGCCAUUGAGAUUGAAAUAGAUCCCCAAAAGUUGCUAUUGGGAUUGAAAUAGAUCUCUAGAUGUUGUCACAAGGGUCAGUAGUGAGUUCUCUUGGUUGAGAGAACUAGAUCAUACUGGCAUAGUCUGUUACAGCUUGUGGAGGUCGCGACUCCACAAGCAGUGAGUUUCGGAGUGUCACACGAAAAUGCAUGCGAGGGUCACGACGGUGCCUCCCCGGCAGACAGCCAUGGUGGUGGCUCAGGAGUGAAAGACCUCUCCACAUGGGCGGCCAAGGUGGUGACUCGGGAGUGAAAGACCUCCCCACUUGGCGGUGUGACUUGGGCUCGACCUCAGGGUGAGGCUAGUAUGAUUGGGUCGUGAGGUAAAAGGACAGCUAAGUAUAGGUCUUGUUUUUUGUUACCUUGUGGAAUAUUGUAGUAGUGUCACAUGAUUGGUGACGGGUCGAUUAUGCCUCCUCAACAAACAGGCAAAGGUGGGUGAUUGGGUCGCGUAGCGCCUCCCCACAUGGCUGAGAGGGGUGAGUUGGGCUUGACCUUAUGGCAAGCUCUCUGAUUGGGUCAAGAGUAACUACGGGGUCAAAUUGAGCAUAUUGGACCUUGGAACGUAUUUUCAUUCAUAAAGACAUAGUAGUGUUUAUUCCAGUUUAUGCAUAGUGUAGUUGUUUACUAUUUCUUGGUUAUUGUAUCUACUUAUGCCUUGAUUAGAUCUAGUGGGAAAAUUCGACGAGGUCAGCAGCCGAACUCACUGGAAACUUCUUUUAGUUCUCAACCCUCGUUUUGCAGAGCUAACCGUGAGCGGAGUGGCACCGGACUGAGGCAAGGGCGCUGUGCCCUAAAUAGUGGGGUGACCAAGUGUAGGUUACCCAUGUUCAAGUAAAAGAAAAGAUUGUAAAAGUAUUUGGAACGAAAAUGUAAUUGAGAACAAAGGUUGUAUUUUGAGGAAAUGGCAUGUACUAAGUAUUAUGUAUCUAAGUUGGAAAAUGUAUGCAUAAAUGUGAUUAUUCCAA